GAUGAACGCUGGCGGCGUGCCUAAUACAUGCAAGUAGAACGCUGAAGGAGGAGCUUGCUUCUCUGGAUGAGUUGCGAACGGGUGAGUAACACGUAGGUAACCUGCCUGGUAGAGGGGGAUAACUAUUGGAAACGAUAGCUAAUACCGCAUAAUAGUAGAUGUUGCAUGACAUUUGCUUAAAAGGUGCAAUUGUAUCACUACCAGAUGGACCUGCGUUGUCUUAGCUAGUUGGUGGGGUAACGGCGCCCCAAGGCGACGAUACAGAGCCGACCCGGGAGGGGGAUCGGCCACACUGGGACUGGGACACGGCCCAGACUCCUACGGGAGGCAGCAGUAGGGAAACUUCGGCAAUGGGCGGAAGUCUGACCGAGCAACGCCGCGUGAGUGAAGAAGGUUUUCGGAUCGUUAAGCUCUGUUGUAAGGGAAGAACGAGUGUGGGAGUGGAAAGUUCACACUGUGACGGUAUCUUACCAGAAAGGGACGGCUAACUACGUG
rnacentral:rRNA from 1 species